rnacentral:rRNA from 1 species
UACAGAGGUCUCAAGCGUUGUUCGGAUUUAUUGGGCGUAAAGAGCGUGUAGGCGGCCCGACAGGUCCGUUGUGAAAACUCGAGGCUCAACCUCGAGACGUCGAUGGAAACCGUCGGGCUAGAGUCCGGAAGAGGAGAGUGGAAUUCCUGGUGUAGCGGUGAAAUGCGCAGAUAUCAGGAGGAACACCCGUGGCGAAAGCGGCUCUCUGGGACGGUACUGACGCUGAGACGCGAAAGCGUGGGGAGCGAACAGG